UCAAGGUCAUCAAAAAAGUUCAGGUCACUGGUGCUGAAGCAGGGGUCGUAGAGGUCAUCUGCUGAAGAGAGAACGAAGGGAAAGUCUGACAGAUCCAUCGGACUCCCUCCGAAAAAUCAAAGGGAUCCAGACCUCACUUCACAGACUCCUUGCAGCUUAGUGGGAGAGCGUUAAUUUUAGCAGCUCAUGAAAUCGAAGACAAGUGCCCUUCUAGCUGAGAACUCCUCCCAAAUUUCUCAAAAUCCCCAUCACGCAUAUAUGAGUUUGAUGCCUGGGAAAAAUACUCCUCAUUACUUCGUCCAGUCUUACACCAUCAGCUAUACACUUCUUCUAAUACUGGAUGUGUGGGAGGCAUGCCGAUGUGAACAUGUAAUAUUACAUGAAAUAUAAUUAACUAACUACACCACCACUACCAACUCUACGGUGUUAAUUAUUCAUUUGAUGCAGAAGAGCCUGGUAUCAAAAUGUAGACCUUCCUUAUGCUUGUUUUGAUCAGCGAGUUAAUGAUCGUGAUGCUCCGGGUUGGCGUUAAAAAAAAUCAUGCUGAACAAAAAUGUGAAUUUUGGCUUUAGAUUGUGAUGCUUGAGUGGAAAUUGAUUUGAAUGCAGGUUUUAUCUUUAUUAUGAAGAUUUCAAAAUGUUGGGGGGGAAAAGUGAUUUUCUUUUUUUUCAUGUAACAUUUACAAACACAUAGUUGUGUUCAGUGAAAUACUGCUGUUGGAGUUGAUUUCCAGUUUUUUAAUUUAUUUUGUGUUACAAAAUGUGUUGACUAAAUGCAUACUUAUAAAACUACAAAACAAAACUAGGAAAACUAAACUAUGUUUUCUUUACUUCUGUAAAGUGUGACAUUGUCAGCAGUGCAUGUAGUUGUUUAGUCCAGUAGCCAUGAAAAUUUAAAAAAAAGAAAGAAAAGGAAAAACACUGCGUAAAUCAGCACACCGUCCUAACAUUUUUGUUUGUUGUUGCUGUUGUUUUUCCUUCCGAAUGAAAAACAAACAAAUGUUAAAUCUUCACUUG